rnacentral:lncRNA from 1 species
GCCGAGCCCAGGGUCCUAAGUAAAGGCAGUACCCACGGGAUUACCAGCAGAACCGCGUCAUCUGAGAUUCGAACUCGGACCGGAACUGAUAUAUUUGUCUCGAUACCCAUUGUUACAUCGCGACAUAUCAUGGCGCAUACGCAUUCCAACUGGCACACAAAUCGAAGUGCCCAACAGGACCAUCUGGCUUAAAUAUGUUGCCUGAUUGGGACUACUAAGGUCGGAUGACCUGGAUCAAUAAUCGAAGCACUGCGUGUAUCAGCCUGGAUGCAAAACCGUAUUGCAUGCGACACUCGUGGAACGGACCUAGCUAGUCGUUGCUAUCACCGCCAUGCAUCCCUUCAUCAACAACAGCUCUUUAUCAACAGCAACUAGUGGUAUGCAUUUGCAUGCACGUCACUGCAACCGUAACAUCUGCAUGCUGCUGUUAUUACUGACAUCUCUAGAUUAGACGUAGAUCAUGAAUUUCGUACUGCUUGGACGUGAGAUGAGUGAGCAAUGCGGCAGUGUAAUGGCGACAGUCAUUGUGAAGAAGCCGAAGCUGUGUAUUCCAGCACCUGCACACAUUAGAACACACAUGGAUGGCAGAGCAGAAAAGAGUUCUGGUUGGAUGUGCACGGGGGCAGUGCACUGAUGGCCAUGUGCACCCCUGUGUGUGCAUGUGUGUAUGUGUAUAACACCAGACAAAGAGUACUCGCGGGAGAUGCCGAGGGAGCUGAACCCUUCUUGCAGUAUGUAUGUAUGUAAGUAUGUAUGGUGUGGCACAUCACAGAGGCGGCACAUGGCGGCAGCGGCCACCACAUACACCUCAUCACUUCAUAGAUAUCCAACGUGUGAUGUUGUAUGCGUACAACAUACACGCUUGCGUUUUUGGGGGGUGUAGUCCGAUGAUAACGAUGUGUACAUGUACAUGUAAUAAGCGUCCGGUUAUCAACACAGGGUGGUUACUUGGCUAACACAACGACCUGGCAUUAUUACAAGCGCAAGAGGGUGCCAACCUAGGGGCGGCUUCAGUGUAAUGUCGUACAGGUUGCUCGUCCACUUGGCAUUUCCUUAUCCCGUAGCUACUUGUAUGACUCAAAGUGGGGAAAGGCCUUGAAGGCCGGAAAGAAGAAGUAGCGUACACAGAACCACACAGCCGUACACACAUCUCCAGGUGCGAUUGAUCUGGAUCGAGGGUCACUUGCGGACAGAUAGACAUACCGGUUGAAUGCCUCAAUCGUGGCAAUAGCCUCUUCAUCACCCCAGGGUGUGGCCACCUUCACCAUCAGCCUGCAACACACACACACGCGGAUACAUGUGCGCACGUGAGGCACGCGUUCCUUGCAUUUUUAUUGGCAUGCAAUGUACCAUCAUCCAUGUAUGUAUGACCUAGGUUACACUGUGGGCCGCGAGGGCCGGGGGCCAAAGCCGAAACACAGCGCAGCACACAGCACAAGUCGGUUAGUCUUGUGUGCUCCCGACCCCGACUCAGACUGCCAACACUCUACGCGUAUGUAUGUAUGUAUGUAUGUAUGUAUGUAUGUAUGUAUGUAUGUAUGUAUGUAUGUAUGUAUGUAUGCAUGUAUGUAUGUAUGUAUGUAUGUAUGUAUGUAUGUAUGCAUGUAUGCAUGUAUGACGCUGAUUACACUGUGGGCUGAAAAGCCGGGGGCCCAGGGCCGAAACACAGCGCGGGGGCCGGAUGCACACGGCUGGUUAGCCUCAUGCACUCCGCCCCCGGGUCAGGCCGCACGGGGAACAACGGCCGGCACACAUCAGCGCUCGUUUGGCGCUCCAGCUAGACGGGAUCUAUGCCCGCUGGCUCCUAACAUAAACGAAAUCGCAACCGGGGGGCUCUUCCUGCCGACCGAACGAACCGAGCAUCUCAGAGAGCUCGCAACCAGGACCUGGAGCCCGACGAGUCAUCCCGGGCUGGGGAGGUCACCAAGCUCAAAAAUCCUCACGCAAAAAGAGCGCAAAGAGCUCACACCACAAGACGCCAAACAGCCUCCUGAGACAACUACCCUCCUCCGCCUCUCCCUCACUGGACUAGUCCAGGGGAGAUAGCACCCGUCGGGGGGAUAACACCGCACAAGCCCACACCCUUCCACAGCACUGGGUCUAGCUUGAAAAGUACUCAAACGGGAAAACCCUGCAGUGACGCCGGGCGAUCAAGCCCCCGAAAACCACAGGGGGGAAGGGUAGCCAGCUCGGCGUCCCCCCAUUACCGCUCUACCAAGACGGCCGGUUCCCAAGAUCCUAUCUCACCUAAACGCCACAACACCCGAAACCAGCAACAACGGGGCGACGGGUGCUUGUUGCUGCCCCGUCGCCCCGUUGUUGCUGGACUAUUGCUGCUCACAGGGGUGGCUGGGGCAUCAGGAAAGGUUCCCCUUCCGGGGGGGUCUUCCUGGUCGCUUGAAGGGUGCCCUUCUGGUGGCAUGCCUCUGAUGGCUCACCAUAUUCAAAAGACAGGUCUCACGGAAGGCCGCGAUUGCUGGUAAGCUCCGGCCUCCACAUGUCGGCCAUAGUCGUGGGGCCCAGGAGCAAGAAUUCCGUAACGUCCUGAGGACUGGGGUCUGCCCGGUAUGCCCGGGUGAGAAAGUCGGCUGUGCCCUGACAGCUGAGCCCGACCGGGACGCCUCUCACCUCCCACACAAUGGGCUUAGCCUGUUGCUGGUUCUUCACCAGCAGCUCCACUUCCAUCGGCUCCUUGUUCGAGGUCAAUUGCACCCCAGGCACGCGUAAUCGACCGUUGACGAUGCGCCUGGCCGCCGUCAACACUGCCAGACCUCCUUUGGGCACAAGGAUGGAGAGUUCCAUCACAAUGUGCCGUUCCCUUCCCAUCGGAUAAAGCAACCGUUUUUGAAUGUGCGGGCCUCCCCAACGGUUGAACUCCUGGUUGCUGCGGAAGAUUUGGCCAAUUGUCGCCAGAAUUUGAAGUCCUGAUGGACCGUAUAUUUGCGUGAUGAUGUCGCCCGUAUCUGAGCCUGCUGGCCACUGGACUGUCACCACGAUCGGUUCCAGUUCUAGUGUGGCUCUGUAGAUAUCUAAGCCUUCAUUUGUUCCAUAAAAGCCACUGAUGGCCUUUAUCUUUUGGUCGGUAUGGAUUGCGGUCUCGCGGCUGAGGUCGGACGGCGGCCAUUUUGAACAUUGCCGCGGCUAACAGCCACUGCUGGUCGCCUCUGCGACAUUUUCAGGCUAAUUAGGUAACCAUAACUACGCUCAAACAAUUGAGGUCGCUGUCGGUGGCCACGGCCGCGGUUGGCCGACGGUCAUAGUAGCAGCUUCGUCAAGCUUGGUCUCAUCCAUACAUGUGUAAUGUAUGUAUGUAUGUAUGUAUGUAUGUAUGUAUGUCUAUGUAUGUAUGUAUGUAUGUAUGUAUCUAGGUAUGACUUCGAUUACACUGUGGGCCGCGAGAGCGGGGGGCCGAAGCCGAAACACAGCGCAAGGGUCGGGAGCACACAGCACAAGUUGGUUAGUCUUGUGUGCUUCAGACCCCAGCAGUUUCAUUUCACAUACACACACACUCAUAUAUGCAUACCUUGUUCGAAUGGCGGGGCCCCGGAUCCCCCGGUGCAGUCGUCGAAUUCGGAGCUGCCCUGCGAAUAAUACAUGAAUAUGCACGUACAUUAUUUUAUGAUUAUUCUGAGGUACAUGGCUGCCAGCGUCACAUCUUCACUUAUUUCCUCUAUCUCGUCGCCCCCUCGGAGUUCCUCGUCUGUAAUAUCUCUAAUCGCCUAUAGACCAUCUAGAUAGCCUCAGA